rnacentral:rRNA from 1 species
AACGAACGCUGGCGGCAUGCCUAACACAUGCAAGUCGAACGAGACCUUCGGGUCUAGUGGCGCACGGGUGCGUAACGCGUGGGAACCUGCCCUUAGGUUCGGAAUAACUCCCCGAAAGGGGUGCUAAUACCGGAUAAUGUCUUCGGACCAAAGAUUUAUCGCCUUUGGAUGGGCCCGCGUUGGAUUAGCUAGUUGGUAGGGUAAAAGCCUACCAAGGCGACGAUCCAUAGCUGGUCUGAGAGGAUGAUCAGCCACACUGGGACUGAGACACGGCCCAGACUCCUACGGGAGGCAGCAGUGGGGAAUAUUGGACAAUGGGCGAAAGCCUGAUCCAGCAAUGCCGCGUGAGUGAUGAAGGCCUUAGGGUUGUAAAGCUCUUUUACACGGGAUGAUAAUGACAGUACCGGGAGAAUAAGCACCGGCUAACUCCGUG